CACCUACGGGAGGCAGCAGUAGGGAAUAUUGCACAAUGGAGGAAACUCUGAUGCAGCGACGCCGCGUGAGUGAUGAAGGCCUUCGGGUCGUAAAGCUCUGUCGCUGGGGAAUAACACAAUGAAUGUACCCUGUAAGAAAGGAUCGGCUAACUUCGUGCCAGCAGCCGCGGUAAGACGAGGGAUCCUAGCGUUGUUCGGAAUUAUUGGGCGUAAAGCGGGUGUAGGUGGCUUUGUAAGUCAGGUGUGAAAGCCUAGGGCUCAACCCUAGAAGUGCAUUUGAUACUGCGAAGCUUGAGUGUUGGAGAGGAUAGUAGAAUUGUUGGUGUAGUGGUAAAAUACGUAGAUAUCAACAGGAAUACCGGAGGCGAAGGCGGCUAUCUGGCCAAACACUGACACUGAGAUCCGAAAGCGUGGGGAUCAAACAGGAUUAGAUACCCUGGUAGUCCACGCCGUAAACGAUGGAUACUUGUUGUUGGAGGUAUUGACCCCUUCAGUGACGAAGCUAACGCGUUA
rnacentral:rRNA from 1 species